UAUUGGCUAGAAAUACUUUUCUGUUUUAUUGGAAAUUUACAGUUGGCCAAUGGCUGCAUGGCAAAGCAAUUGCUUACCACCUUGAAAAUUCUGCAUUCAAUCCUGACAAUUUUAUCAUCUGAAAGAUUGAGUUCAAACCCAGACAGUUUUAUCUCCUUAAAGGUUCUGGUCUCCCAUUGUCAAAUAUUACUACUGUGGAUCUCAGAAAGCUCCUAUCUCCAUUUUUGUUUUUGUAUUUUAUGCUUAUCAUAUAUAUAUCAUAUUUAUGUCAUGUCUAUGUUAUAUUUUUAAUAAUUUUUAUCAUAAUAUGUAUGUUUUCUUUGU
rnacentral:lncRNA from 1 species